rnacentral:rRNA from 1 species
CCUACGGGCGGCAGCAGUGGGGAAUAUUGGACAAUGGGGGGAACCCUGAUCCAGCCAUGCCGCGUGUGUGAAGAAGGCCCUCGGGUUGUAAAGCACUUUCAGUGAGGAAGAACGCCUGGUGGUUAAUACCCAUCAGGAAAGACAUCACUCACAGAAGAAGCACCGGCUAACUCCGUGCCAGCAGCCGCGGUAAUACGGAGGGUGCGAGCGUUAAUCGGAAUUACUGGGCGUAAAGCGCGCGUAGGUGGCUUGAUAAGCCGGUUGUGAAAGCCCCGGGCUCAACCUGGGAACGGCAUCCGGAACUGUCAAGCUAGAGUGCAGGAGAGGAAGGUAGAAUUCCCGGUGUAGCGGUGAAAUGCGUAGAGAUCGGGAGGAAUACCAGUGGCGAAGGCGGUCUUCUGGACUGACACUGACACUGAGGUGCGAAAGCGUGGGUAGCAAACAGGAUUAGAUACCCGGGUAGUC